CAGUGAAACCUGUUCGGGAUUCAUAAAGUGAACAUGCGUAUCAAUUGCUCCGGCCGUAACAAUAAAGCCUUCACCGGCUAUAAUUUCCGUGGACGCGCCAAUGAUGAUAUCCACUUUAUCCAUAAUAAGCGGGUUGCCGGCUUUUCCGAUUCCGGAAAUUUUUCCGUCCCGAAUCGCAAUAUCCGCUUUAUAGAUUCCAGUGUAAUCCAGAAUAACGGCAUUGGUAAUCACCGUGUCCGGCACACCGUCUUUUUCCCUGGUGGCAAGCGGAUGCUGUCCCAUUCCGUCCCG
rnacentral:sRNA from 1 species